rnacentral:piRNA from 1 species
UACCUAUGUAACAAACCUGCACAUUCUGC